UGGGGAAUAUUGCACAAUGGGCGAAAGCCUGAUGCAGCAACGCCGCGUGAGUGAGAAAGGCCCUUCGGGGUUGUAAAGCUCUGUCUUUUGGGACGAUAAUGACGGUCCAAAGGAGGAAGCCACGGCUAACUACGUGCCAGCAGCCGCGGUAAUACGUAGGUGGCAAGCGUUGUCCGGAUUUACUGGGCGUAAAGGNUGCGUAGGCGAUUUUUAAGUGAGAUGUGAAAACCCUAGCUUAACUUGGGGGACUGCAUUUCAUACUGGAAAUCUAGAGUGCGGGAGGGGAGAAUGGAAUUCCUAGUGUAGCGGUGAAAUGCGUAGAGAUUAGGAAGAACACCAGUGGCGAAGGCGAUUCUCUGGACCGUAACUGACGCUGAGGCAUGAAAGCGUGGGUAGCAAA
rnacentral:rRNA from 1 species